rnacentral:tRNA from 1 species
GGCUGUAGCUCAGUGGUAGAGCACUAGCCACCUUGCAUGCAUGAGGACUGGGUUGGAUCCUCAGCACCA